AUUGAACGCUGGCGGCAGGCCUAACACAUGCAAGUCGAGCGAGCGGCGGACGGGUGAGUAAUGUAUGGGGACUGCCUGAUAGAGGGGGAUAACUACUGGAAACGGUGGCUAAUACCGCAUACUAUCGGAUAACCCAUAUGGGAUUAGCUAGUAGGUGGGGUAAAGGCUCACAUGGACGACGAUCUCUAGCUGGUCUGAGAGGAUGAACAUCCACACGUGGACUGAGACACGGCCCAGACUCCUACGGAGGCAGCAGUGGGGAAUAUUGCGCAAGGGGCGCAAGCCUGAUGCAGCCAUGCCGCGUGUAUGAAGAAGGCCUUAGGGUUGUAAAGUUCUUUCAGCAGGGAGGCGUUACCCGCAGAAGAAGCACCGGCUAACUCCGUGCCAGCAGCCGCGGUAAUUC
rnacentral:rRNA from 1 species